UUUUAUGGUGGCUGUGCGCAGGGCACCUUCGGGUGCGCCGGUAUUUUCGCGUUGGAGCCGGUCGACUAACCUGCGUACAGCCGCCACCCUC
rfam:Pseudomonas sp. 1 R 17 genome assembly PSEFL294_LIB5394, contig: PSEFL294_LIB5394_000056